UACACAUGCAGUCGAGGGGUAACAUUGGUGCUUGCACCAGAUGACGACCGGCGCACGGGUGCGUAACGCGUAUACAAUCUGCCUUGUACUGGGGGAUAGCCUUUAGAAAUGAAGAUUAAGACCCCAUAGUAUUAUAGAUUCGCAUGAUGAAAUAAUUAAAGGUUACGGUACAAGAUGAGUAUGCGUCCUAUUAGCUAGAUGGAGUGGUAACGGCACCCCAUGGCGACGAUAGGUAGGGGCCCUGAGAGGGGGAUCCCCCACACUGGUACUGAGACACGGACCAGACUCCUACGGGAGGCAGCAGUGAGGAAUAUUGGACAAUGGGGGCAACCCUGAUCCAGCCAUGCCGCGUGCAGGAAGACUGCCCUAUGGGUUGUAAACUGCUUUUAUACGGGAAGAAACACCGCUACGUGUAGCGGCUUGACGGUACCGUAAGAAUAAGGAUCGGCUAACUCCGUGCCAGCAGCCGCGGUAAUACGGAGGAUCCAAGCGUUAUCCGGAAUCAUUGGGUUUAAAGGGUCCGUAGGUGGGCUGGUCAGUCAGAGGUGAAAUCCCACGGCUCAACCGUGGAACUGCCUUUGAUACUGCUAGUCUUGAGUUAUUAUGAAGUAGUUAGAAUAUGUAGUGUAGCGGUGAAAUGCAUAGAUAUUACAUAGAAUACCAAUUGCGAAGGCAGAUUACUAAUAAUAUACUGACACUGAUGGACGAAAGCGUAGGUAGCGAACGGGAUUAGAUACCCCGGUAGUCUACGCCGUAAACGAUGGAUACUAGCUGUCCGGCUUCGGCUGGGUGGCUAAGCGAAAGUGAUAAGUAUCCCACCUGGGGA
rnacentral:rRNA from 1 species